rnacentral:rRNA from 1 species
GGGUUGUGAGGUUAAGCGACUAAGCGUACACGGUGGAUGCCCUGGCAGUCAGAGGCGAUGAAGGACGUGCUAAUCUGCGAUAAGCGUCGGUAAGGUGAUAUGAACCGUUAUAACCGGCGAUUUCCGAAUGGGGAAACCCAGUGUGUUUCGACACACUAUCAUUAACUGAAUCCAUAGGUUAAUGAGGCGAACCGGGGGAACUGAAACAUCUAAGUACCCCGAGGAAAAGAAAUCAACCGAGAUUCCCCCAGUAGCGGCGAGCGAACGGGGAGCAGCCCAGAGCCUGAAUCAGUAUGUGUGUUAGUGGAAGCGUCUGGAAAGGCGCGCGAUACAGGGUGACAGCCCCGUACACAAAAAUGCACAUGCUGUGAGCUCGAUGAGUAGGGCGGGACACGUGGUAUCCUGUCUGAAUAUGGGGGGACCAUCCUCCAAGGCUAAAUACUCCUGACUGACCGAUAGUGAACCAGUACCGUGAGGGAAAGGCGAAAAGAACCCCGGCGAGGGGAGUGAAAAAGAACCUGAAACCGUGUACGUACAAGCAGUGGGAGCACGCUUCGGCGUGUGACUGCGUACCUUUUGUAUAAUGGGUCAGCGACUUAUAUUCUGUAGCAAGGUUAACCGAAUAGGGGAGCCGAAGGGAAACCGAGUCUUAACUGGGCGUUAAGUUGCAGGGUAUAGACCCGAAACCCGGUGAUCUAGCCAUGGGCAGGUUGAAGGUUGGGUAACACUAACUGGAGGACCGAACCGACUAAUGUUGAAAAAUUAGCGGAUGACUUGUGGCUGGGGGUGAAAGGCCAAUCAAACCGGGAGAUAGCUGGUUCUCCCCGAAAGCUAUUUAGGUAGCGCCUCGUGAAUUCAUCUCCGGGGGUAGAGCACUGUUUCGGCAAGGGGGUCAUCCCGACUUACCAACCCGAUGCAAACUGCGAAUACCGGAGAAUGUUAUCACGGGAGACACACGGCGGGUGCUAACGUCCGUCGUGAAGAGGGAAACAACCCAGACCGCCAGCUAAGGUCCCAAAGUCAUGGUUAAGUGGGAAACGAUGUGGGAAGGCCCAGACAGCCAGGAUGUUGGCUUAGAAGCAGCCAUCAUUUAAAGAAAGCGUAAUAGCUCACUGGUCGAGUCGGCCUGCGCGGAAGAUGUAACGGGGCUAAACCAUGCACCGAAGCUGCGGCAGCGACGCUUAUGCGUUGUUGGGUAGGGGAGCGUUCUGUAAGCCUGUGAAGGUGUGCUGUGAGGCAUGCUGGAGGUAUCAGAAGUGCGAAUGCUGACAUAAGUAACGAUAAAGCGGGUGAAAAGCCCGCUCGCCGGAAGACCAAGGGUUCCUGUCCAACGUUAAUCGGGGCAGGGUGAGUCGACCCCUAAGGCGAGGCCGAAAGGCGUAGUCGAUGGGAAACAGGUUAAUAUUCCUGUACUUGGUGUUACUGCGAAGGGGGGACGGAGAAGGCUAUGUUGGCCGGGCGACGGUUGUCCCGGUUUAAGCGUGUAGGCUGGUUUUCCAGGCAAAUCCGGAAAAUCAAGGCUGAGGCGUGAUGACGAGGCACUACGGUGCUGAAGCAACAAAUGCCCUGCUUCCAGGAAAAGCCUCUAAGCAUCAGGUAACAUCAAAUCGUACCCCAAACCGACACAGGUGGUCAGGUAGAGAAUACCAAGGCGCUUGAGAGAACUCGGGUGAAGGAACUAGGCAAAAUGGUGCCGUAACUUCGGGAGAAGGCACGCUGAUAUGUAGGUGAAGUCCCUCGCGGAUGGAGCUGAAAUCAGUCGAAGAUACCAGCUGGCUGCAACUGUUUAUUAAAAACACAGCACUGUGCAAACACGAAAGUGGACGUAUACGGUGUGACGCCUGCCCGGUGCCGGAAGGUUAAUUGAUGGGGUCAGCGCAAGCGAAGCUCUUGAUCGAAGCCCCGGUAAACGGCGGCCGUAACUAUAACGGUCCUAAGGUAGCGAAAUUCCUUGUCGGGUAAGUUCCGACCUGCACGAAUGGCGUAAUGAUGGCCAGGCUGUCUCCACCCGAGACUCAGUGAAAUUGAACUCGCUGUGAAGAUGCAGUGUACCCGCGGCAAGACGGAAAGACCCCGUGAACCUUUACUAUAGCUUGACACUGAACAUUGAGCCUUGAUGUGUAGGAUAGGUGGGAGGCUUUGAAGUGUGGACGCCAGUCUGCAUGGAGCCGACCUUGAAAUACCACCCUUUAAUGUUUGAUGUUCUAACGUGGACCCGUGAUCCGGGUUGCGGACAGUGUCUGGUGGGUAGUUUGACUGGGGCGGUCUCCUCCUAAAGAGUAACGGAGGAGCACGAAGGUUGGCUAAUCCUGGUCGGACAUCAGGAGGUUAGUGCAAUGGCAUAAGCCAGCUUGACUGCGAGCGUGACGGCGCGAGCAGGUGCGAAAGCAGGUCAUAGUGAUCCGGUGGUUCUGAAUGGAAGGGCCAUCGCUCAACGGAUAAAAGGUACUCCGGGGAUAACAGGCUGAUACCGCCCAAGAGUUCAUAUCGACGGCGGUGUUUGGCACCUCGAUGUCGGCUCAUCACAUCCUGGGGCUGAAGUAGGUCCCAAGGGUAUGGCUGUUCGCCAUUUAAAGUGGUACGCGAGCUGGGUUUAGAACGUCGUGAGACAGUUCGGUCCCUAUCUGCCGUGGGCGCUGGAGAACUGAGGGGGGCUGCUCCUAGUACGAGAGGACCGGAGUGGACGCAUCACUGGUGUUCGGGUUGUCAUGCCAAUGGCACUGCCCGGUAGCUAAAUGCGGAAGAGAUAAGUGCUGAAAGCAUCUAAGCACGAAACUUGCCCCGAGAUGAGUUCUCCCUGACUCCUUGAGAGUCCUGAAGGAACGUUGAAGACGACGACGUUGAUAGGCCGGGUGUGUAAGCGCAGCGAUGCGUUGAGCUAACCGGUACUAAUGAACCGUGAGGCUUAACCUUACAACGCCGAAGCUGUU